rnacentral:rRNA from 1 species
CAGCCGCCGCGGUAAUACAUAGGUGGCAAGCGUUGUCCGGAAUUAUUGGGCGUAAAGGGCUCGCAGGCGGUUUCUUAAGUCUGAUGUGAAAGCCCCCGGCUCAACCGGGGAGGGUCAUUGGAAACUGGGAAACUUGAGUGCAGAAGAGGAGAGUGGAAUUCCACGUGUAGCGGUGAAAUGCGUAGAGAUGUGGAGGAACACCAGUGGCGAAGGCGACUCUCUGGUCUGUAACUGACGCUGAGGAGCGAAAGCGUGGGGAGCGAACAGGAUUAGAUACCCCAGUAGUCCCUGUCUCUUAUAC